CAAUAGCGUAUAUUAACGUUGUUGCAGUUAAAAAGCUCGUAGUUGAAUUUCUGAUGCGAUGAACCUUCCUUUAACCUUUCGGUUAUUGCGAGUGGUUGUAUUGUCAUCAUCUUUGUGGAGAGAUUUUCUGGUAUUCAUUUAUCGGACUAUGGAUCCACAUCUUUUACUGUGAAAAAAUUAGAGUGUUUAAAGCAGGCAUUUCGCUUCUGAAUACAUUAGCAUGGAAUAAUAAGAUAGGAUCUCGAGUACUAUUUUGUUGGUUUGUAUACCGAGAUAAUGAUUAACAGGGACAGUUGGGGGUAUUCGUAUUUAAUUGUCAGAGGUGAAAUUCUUGGAUUUACGGAAGACGAACUACUGCGAAAGCAUUUACCAAGGAUGUUUUCAUUAA
rnacentral:rRNA from 1 species